GAUCAUGGCUCAGGAUGAACGCUGGCGGCGUGCCUAACACAUGCAAGUCGAGCGAGCACUUUGCUUAGAUUCUUCGGAUGAAGAGGAUUGUGACUGAGCGGCGACGGUGAGUAACGCGUGGGUAACCUGCCUCGAUACAGGGGAUAACAGUUAGAAAUGACUGCUAAUACCGCAUAAGACCACAGCACCGCAUGGUNCGGGGUAAAAACUCCGGUGGU
rnacentral:rRNA from 1 species